rnacentral:lncRNA from 1 species
AUGAAUCGUCCAAGAAAUUAAUAAGAUGAUGAUACAUAUUCUCAAGAGUUGAGAAUUUGAGCCAUGUAUCAUUGGUGAUUAAUUUCUAAAUGCUCCUGAUCAAUGGAUCAUCACGAGGACGGUGAUCGAUCCGAUCAGUACACAGAUCACUUUCCUUCUGGAUGGACGAGACUUGAGUCCACAGUGUAGGGACACUGGAGUGAUAGUGCAGGUGCUUGUUAGAGAACAAGGGUACUGAGCGUGACCAAGACAAGAAGUCACUUGGAUGUCUAUCCACUCGUCAGUGACUUGCUUGAUAUUGCAGUAGUGUGACUGGUCCUUUGACCUGCGGUGCUUCGGCUACUCACAGUGAGGUUAUUGUAGUUUGACUGCACACACACAUGGUCUCUAGCCAUAUGGGUCCAUGCAGUGUAGAUUGGCUGCAGUAAGUUCACUGUAGGAGUAGGGUAUGCACCUAUAUGGAAUCUAUCGACCUUGAUAGAUAAGGAGAGAUCCUAUGUGAUUUAUAAGACUGAGUUCGUAAGACCUCGGCCGGGGCAGUAUGCACAGUGGAGAAAGAGUUUUCCACUCUCGAACUUAAGUCGAAUAAAUCUUCACAUAUGACAGACGAUGGGGUUUGAUGAGUUGUCCAUGACCUCCGUCCUGUAGGGAUCCACGAUAGUA